rnacentral:rRNA from 1 species
AUUGAACGCUGGCGGCAGGCCUAACACAUGCAAGUCGAGCGGAUGACGGGAGCUUGCUCCUUGAUUCAGCGGCGGACGGGUGAGUAAUGCCUAGGAAUCUGCCUGAUAGUGGGGGACAACGUUUCGAAAGGAACGCUAAUACCGCAUACGUCCUACGGGAGAAAGCAGGGGACCUUCGGGCCUUGCGCUAUCAGAUGAGCCUAGGUCGGAUUAGCUAGUUGGUGGGGUAAUGGCUCACCAAGGCGACGAUCCGUAACUGGUCUGAGAGGAUGAUCAGUCACACUGGAACUGAGACACGGUCCAGACUCCUACGGGAGGCAGCAGUGGGGAAUAUUGGACAAUGGGCGAAAGCCUGAUCCAGCCAUGCCGCGUGUGUGAAGAAGGUCUUCGGAUUGUAAAGCACUUUAAGUUGGGAGGAAGGGCAGUAAGUUAAUACCUUGCUGUUUUGACGUUACCGACAGAAUAAGCACCGGCUAACUCUGUGCCAGCCGCCGCGGUAACAC